AACAAACCUCAGUACAAUCAGCAGAACAAAGGAUCUGAUGGGCAGACUUCUGGUGGUCCUAAAGGAAUUAUGAAAAAGAAUGACAAAUGUAAAUUCUGUAAAAAGAAGGGUCAUUGGCAGAAGGAUUGCUUUAAGUUUAAGGCUUGGUUGGAGAAGAAGAAGAUUUCAUCAGGGAUUAAUAAGGAGACGGAGGCCAAGUGAGAAUGAAGUGAACCUAUGCGUUGGAAAUGGAGUUCAAGUUAAAGUUGAGUUUAUAGGAGCAGUGAAGUUAUCCUUGGAGUCUGGUUUUUCUUUUAUUUUGGAAAAUAUAUUUUUUGUACCGACGAUGAGACGGAAUUUAAUUUCUGUGUCAAAGCUUGAUCAGUCUGGAUUUUCUUUUAAAUUUAGUAAUGGAAUGAUUGAACUAUUUUAUGACU